GAUUAACGCUGGCGGCAUGCCUUAUGCAUGCAAGUCGAACGGCAGCACGGGUGCUUGCACCUGGUGGCGAGUGGCGAACGGGUGAGUAAUACAUCGGAACGUACCUUAUCGUGGGGGAUAACGCAGCGAAAGUUGCGCUAAUACCGCAUACGCCCUGAGGGGGAAAGCGGGGGACCGUAAGGCCUCGCGCGAUUAGAGCGGCCGAUGUCUGAUUAGCUUGUUGGUGAGGUAAAAGCUCACCAAGGCGAUGAUCAGUAGCGGGUCUGAGAGGAUGAUCCGCCACACUGGGACUGAGACACGGCCCAGACUCCUACGGGAGGCAGCAGUGGGGAAUUUUGGACAAUGGGGGCAACCCUGAUCCAGCCAUGCCGUGUGAGUGAAGAAGGCCUUCGGGUUGUAAAGCUCUUUCGGCCGGGAAGAAAUCGCACAGGCUAAUACUCUGUGUGGAUGACGGUACCGGCAUAAGAAGCACCGGCUAACUACGUGCCAGCCGCCGCCGUAA
rnacentral:rRNA from 1 species